rnacentral:lncRNA from 1 species
AGCCCCUCUGGGAUUGAUGGGUGAUCCCGAACCUUCCCUUGCUGGCCCCAAGCCCACCACCUUCUCCCGUCAAGGCUCUGGGCAAGCCUGCCCAGCAGUGGAUUGGUGACUGGUGGUUCUCUGCAGGGAGGAGGGAAAAACGGGAGGUGGCGUGCCCGUCAUCCAGAGGGUUUUACGGUACAAAACCCAAACCAAAGAGGCAGUGUGUGUGUGUGGGAGGGGAGCAGAAUUCCCUGUUAUCUCCCUCCUUUCAUGCAUUCGCCCUGGACAAACCUCGCGGCAGAGCGAGUCACUCUGUACCAUGCUCAAUAGAGCAUCUGGUCUGGCCUCUUAAUGCUUCAGAUAAUACUUCAGUCUUUCUCAUUUUUUUCGAUAACUCUGCAAUGGAAUAAGGUUUUCUUAUCCCAUUUUGCAGAGGAGGAAAGUCAGGACAUGAGACCCCGCCCAGGGUCAUGUAACCAGACCUGGCAGGACCGAGGCUCAGACCUGACUUCAAACCCACAUUCUUACCUCUGCUCCUGGCUGUCUCCCUAAUAGUCCAUCCCUAAUACUGGAUGUACGUUAUGAUUUCUAAGUGAGAAGAAAUACACAUAAAGAUUUUUUAAAUUUGUUUUCUUAUUAAAGUAUGGCUGAUUUAUAAUGUUGGGCCAAUUUCUGCUGUACCGCAGUGACCCCGUCAUGCAUAUAGCUACAUUCCUUUUCUCACAUUUCUAUCUUCCAUCAUGUUCUAGCCCGAGAGACUGGCUCUAGUUGCAAUAAGCAUGUGUGUACACAUGUGUAUGUAUAUACACCCACUUAUAGAGAAGCGAUGGGAAAGCUCACAGAAAAAUAAGCUCAAUGAUUCUAUCUGAAAAGAUGUGUUUCCCUACCCACUUCCUCUCUGCCUCCUGUCCCCUGCCCACAUACACAUGGGACCGGUUGGAAUGUUCCAGUGCUGAUCAGUUGCCGUGGGCUGCGUGGGGGAGGGGGCAUUGGUGGAACUCAGGUGUUUGUGAAGCUUUCUGUUUCCUUGGUUGAGGGAGCUCGAGGCUGUGGGGUGGCCAGGUGGCAGUCACGGUUGGGUUGUAAAGCUGGAGCUGAGCUAGUGGCUUUUCCGUCCUGUUUGGGUUGCUUGCUGGGAAGGGGCUGGACUGCCCUUCAUCUUUGAUUUCCUCUCUUCGAGGGGCUGGUGAGCAAUGAUGUGGCCCUAAGGUGGGUAAAUGGCUGGGAAGAUCCAUGGGGUGGCCCUAGAGGAUGGUGCCGAUUCAGACCUCGGGGCCAGACAGCUGUGGGUUUGACCUCCAACUCUGCCACUCCCUGAUUUGGUGACAGUGGCAGGGCUUUGGACUCAUUUGUAAAACUGGAGUAGUCAUUUUCACCAGGGUUCUUUUAUUGGAAGGUACAGAGACCCACUGGAUCCAGCUCAAGUUCAAAGAGGCGUGACUCAUAAGAUUCAGAAACACGUCCCGUGCCCCAGGGCCAGGAGCCUUUGUAGAACUGGGCCUGGCGGGGGCUGCCCCUCAGAAGGCCCCCCCUGCGCCCCUCUCCUCCCUGCAGCCCGGCUUCCUUGGUUGUCUGCUGGGCAUGGCAUCAGACGGCUUCCUCAGGGCCCCCAUCUGAGGAUUUUCCAGCUUCAUUGUCCCUUUUUGUUUCUUAGUUUAGAUGUCUGACACAGAGGCUGAUUGGCCCAGCUUAUCUUUUUGAGGCAAACUACACAUUUCCAAAGGUCCUGGCAGAGUCUGGCGGAGCCAGCCCUGGCCCAGCAGGCCGCCUGCUCUCGUCGGCUGAUGAUGCGAUGUGUGUGGCUCUUUCCGCAGAGCUUCAGACCCGUUACCCAGCUGAGAGCUGUUCCGAGUGCCGAGCGUCGGCAUGCAGAUCGUGCCUCACCGAUCGUCCCAAGGUUAAGGAGCUCGCGCCGGGGUGUGUGUAGACCAGCUGUGCGCGGUGCACUCUCAGCUCGGCUGACACGCUCUUCACGCGAGACCCUCUCCGUGAAGGAAGCAGCGCCCUCCUUGGCGGUCUGGCACAGCUUCUGUCUCUUCUCAGGAGGUCCUGCGCCUUGACCACACGAGCGUGGCCCUUCCUCCAGACCCCCGCUCCGGACGCGCCCACCUAGCGUCUCCCAGGAACCAUGCGGCAGCUCAAGGGGAAGCCCAAGAAGGAGACGUCCAAGGACAAGAAGGAGCGGAAGCAGGCCAUGCAGGAGGCCCGGCAGCAGAUCACCACCGUGGUGCUGCCCACGCUGGCCGUGGUCGUGGUCCUGAUCGUGGUGUUUGUGUACGUGGCCACGCGCCCCACCAUCACCGAGUGAGGGCCCGCCCCGAGGGAGGAGGCUCGGGAGGGGAGAGCAGAAGAAGGGCCUUCAUCCGCUGCGAUUUUCCUGAUGCCGAGCUCUGAGCAGGAGCCCCCGUCUGCUCUGGUCUGUGACUUGAUUAAAGGUUCUCCACUUUUCUUGGGAGGGAAUAGGAAACGUUUUAUCAGUGAACGUGCCAUACACUUUAUGGUCCACUUCAUGUGCCUUUCAGACUUCAAAGCCGUGUGUGUGUGUGUGUGUGUGUGUGUGUGUGUGUGUGUGUGUGUGUGUUUCUCGCCUGCAAUCGAUGUGUAGCCCCACCUGGUGAGAGGAGGCGUCUCUGGGUCACGGAUCAGUUGGAAUCAGUGCUCACCCCAUCCCCGUUGUUUUGAACAUGACUUUCCUACACGUGUUCACAAUUUCCAAAGGGACUGUGUUUCUUCUCUGUGCUUCAUGUGAUUUGAAAUAUGUCGACUCAAAAGUGAAAUAUUUAUUUUUUGAAUAAAGGAGAUGAUAGCC